CAGAGAACGCGUCUUCCGGGCGCAUCUCCCACCCUUUGUCUACCUUACUUUGUUGCUUUGGCAGGCCCGUCUCACGACCACCGGCUCCGGCUGGUCCGUGCCUGCCAGAGGACCACAAACUCUGAUCAUCAUGCCGUCUGAGUAACACACAAAAAUACGUUA
rnacentral:misc_RNA from 1 species